rnacentral:rRNA from 1 species
AGGUGGUGCAUGGUUGUUCGUCAGCUCGUGUCGUGAGAUGUGGUAAGUCCCGCAACGAGCGCAACCCUUGUCAUUAGUUGCCAUCAUUUGGUUGGGCACUCUAAUGAGACUGCCGGUGACAAACCGGAGGAAGGUGGGGAUGACGUCAAGUCCUCAUGGCCCUUAUGGGUAGGGCUUCACACGUCAUACAAUGGUCGGUACAGAGGGUUGCCAACCCGCGAGGGGGGAGCUAAUCCCACAAAGCCGAUCGUAGUCCGGAUCGCAGUCUGCAACUCAACUGCGUGAAGUCGGAAUCGCUAGUAAUCGUGGAUCAGCAUGUCACGGUGAAUACGUUCCCGGGUCUU